rnacentral:SRP_RNA from 1 species
GCUAGGCAUGGUGGCGGGUGCCUGUAAUCCCAGCUACUCGGGAGGCUGAGGCAGGAGAAUUGCUUGAACCCAGGAGGCGGAGGUUGCAGUGAGCCAAGAUUGCACCACUGCACUCCAGCCUGGGCAACAGAGCAAGACUCUGUCUCUA